UACGGGGGGAGCAAGCGUUGUUCGGAUUUACUGGGCGUAAAGGGCGGGUAGGCGGCCACCGCAAGUCAGUUGUGAAAUCUCCGGGCUUAACCCGGAAAGGUCAACUGAUACUGCGGGGCUAGAGUGCGGAAGGGGCAACUGGAAUUCUCGGUGUAGCGGUGAAAUGCGUAGAUAUCGAGAGGAACACCUGCGGCGAAGGCGGGUUGCUGGGCCGACACUGACGCUGAUGCGCGAAAGCCAGGGGAGCGAACGGG
rnacentral:rRNA from 1 species